GGACAGCUUUGGCGAGAUGGAGGGGCACUAUUGAGUCAGCUGUGAGCUCGGCUAGCAGGUGGUGUUAGCCAUGUACACAGGAGGUUUGUUUCUGCUAACCAUCUACAACUGUUAGCGGUUAGCCCCCGGGUCGCAGGUUAGCAUCACAACAGACAUCACUUCUCUGUAAAGGUUAUUAGAGAAGUCAACUCGGAUUGACGGAUGGAGAUGGAAGACGCUCAGAAGCCCAUCUCUCUCACACUCAUCUUCAUCUGAGCAUCGCUACUGACAGCACAGGAGCAGAGGAGGAGACGGAUGGAUGGGUCUUUUCUCCCUACUGUACUUCAUGUAGUGCCAAAUCUGUAAGAGAACACUAUUUAUAGUCCUCUUUGAGUUUUGAUGUCCUCACACCUAAAACUAUUGGCCUAAUAAAAAACAAGAAUGAUUCGGAUGUUUAUAGGGAACUUUUAAUGUAAUCUUGUCUGUAACUCUGUAUUUGUCUGUUAAUACACUGUGAGUAAGUGUGUGAGGUGCCAUGGGCUAAAAGGAACCGUUAUAAUGAGGGAUGAUACCAAUAAAUUGAUAUCUCCAA